GACGAACGCUGGCGGCGUGCUUAACACAUGCAAGUCGAGCGGAAAGGCCCUUCGGGGUACUCGAGCGGCGAACGGGUGAGUAACACGUGAGAAACCUGCCCUGGACUUUGGGAUAACCCUCGGAAACGGGGGCUAAUACCGGAUAUGACAUUCGACCGCAUGGUUGUUUGUGGAAAGUUUUCGGUCUGGGAUGGUCUCGCGGCCUAUCAGCUUGUUGGUGGGGUAAUGGCCUACCAAGGCGACGACGGGUAGCCGGCCUGAGAGGGCGACCGGCCACACUGGGACUGAGACACGGCCCAGACUCCUACGGGAGGCAGCAGUGGGGAAUAUUGCACAAUGGGCGGAAGCCUGAUGCAGCGACGCCGCGUGAGGGAUGACGGCCUCGGUUG
rnacentral:rRNA from 1 species